rnacentral:rRNA from 1 species
AUCUUGAAAAUUAAGGAAAUUGGCGGUAUUUUAGUCUAUUCAGAGGAACCUGUUCUGUAAUCGAUAGUCCACGAUUUAAAAUACUUAUUUUAUUAAUUUACAUAUCGCCGUAUUGGAAUAUUUUUUUAGGAUUAAAAUAUUCAAAAUUUUUAUAAAAUAUACAUCAGGUCAAGAUGUAGUUUAUGAGUAAGUAGAAAUGGGUUACAAUAAAUAUAUUUAAAUGGAUAAAUCUUUUUAAAAAGAUUUUAAAAGUGGAUUUGAGAGUAAUUUUAUUAAAUUUUAUAAAAUGAUUAAGCUCUAAAAUAUGCACAUAUCGCCCGUCGCUUUCAUUUUAAAAUGAAAUAAGUCGUAACAUAGUAGAGGUACUGGAAAGUGUCUCUAGAAUUAACAAAUUAAAGCUUUAUAAGCAUUUUAGUUACAUUAAAAAGAUUAUUGUUUAAUCAAUAUAAUUUGAUAAAAAAAUAUUAUUAAAUUUAUUAUUUUAUAAAACUUUACUAAAAUAAUAUUUAUUUUUAUUAAUUUUAAUGAAAAAAUAUUUUAUAAUUAUAGGUUAUUAGUAUUGAAAAAGAAAUAUUUAAAUUUUAAAAAAGAAAAAUUUAAUUUUUGUACCUUGUGUAUCAGGGUUUAUUAAAUAAAAUUUAUUAAUAUUAAAUUUCUCGAUUUUAAAAGAGCUAUAAUUGUAUCUUUAUUAAUGUAGAAUAAUUAAAUUUAAUAUAAUUAUAGAAAUGAAAUGUUAUUCGAUUUUAAGUAUAUCUAGUUUUUUAAGAAAAAAAUUUAAUUUUAUUUUUAUUUAAUUAUUAAAUUAUAUGGUUAAUUUAAUAAUAAUAAAAUUUAAUAUUUUAAGGGAUGAGCUUUAAAAUAAAUUUAUAUAACUAAUUUAAAAAAUUUUAAUAAGUAGAAUUAUAAGUUUUUAUCUUUAAAAGUGUUUUAUAACUUUUUAAAUUUUAACUAAAAUUUUUAUAUUGGUUUAUUUAUUUUAUUAAAAUUAAAAUUUUAAUUUAAAAAAUUUUGUAAUAAUGAUAAAAUUAGUAUAAUAAUUAAAGUUUAAAUUAUCUAAAUUUUACAGGUUUUUAAAAGGAAUUCGGCAAAUAUAAUUUUCACCUGUUUAUUAAAAACAUGGCUUUUUGAGUAUAAUUUAAGGUCUGACCUGCCCAAUGAAAAAUUUAAAUGGCUGCGGUAUUUUGACCGUGCAAAGGUAGCAUAAUCAUUAGUUUUUUAAUUGGAAGCUUGUAUGAAAGGUUGAAUGAAAAAUUAGCUGUCUCUUAAAAAAUUUAAUUGAAUUUUAUUUUUAAGUUAAAAAGCUUAAAUUUUUAUUAAAGACGAGAAGACCCUUUAGAGUUUAAUAUUUAAUAAUUUUAUUAAAUUUAGUAUUUAAA